UGUCUUGAUACUUAUAGCGUAGUGGAACCACACCAAACCAUUCCGAACUUGGUUGUUAAACGCUACAGCGGCAAUAAUACUGAAGAGGUGGCUCUUUGGAAAAGUAGCUCAGCGUCAAGACUAU
rnacentral:rRNA from 1 species